UCCUGUUUUAUCUAAAUCAUAAGGAACAUUCUUUUUACCUAUUAGAAAGGCAUGCACUAGCAUUUAGGGUCUCACGCAAACUAGUUUGGGAGUCGUAUGGAUGAAAAUGCAUGACAAAACAGUGUGUAUGCAGUUUGAAUUUAUCUUCAAUCAUUUGCUCAAGGCCCGAAUAUUCGUAAGUAAAAUGUGAUGGAUAGCCAUAUUUACAUGAUUUUGCUUUCGAGUGUAAUUGGUGUGUUCAAGCUUCUUAAUGUGUAGACUAUUUAUACGUGCAUCAUCUUCAUCUGAAAUUGUUUCAUUUACGUUUAUUGAGCUGUUGGUUGUUUAUUUGUGUGAUGGGAUUGGAUGAAAUUGAGUAGAGUUGGUUUAAAAGAACAAAUACUAAUCUAGUUUUUUAGCAGUCCAAAGAGGAAUGUGAGUAUCUAAUUGAACUUGCCAAGCCUCACAUGGCGAGGUCGAUAGUCGUUGAUAGCACAACUGGUCGGAGUAAAGACAGAACUGCUUCUGGUGAAGUCAUUCUUUAAUGAAUUUUUGGCUGGUUGGAUGACUUGAUCAAAGCAUUAGAGAAGUUCAGAUGUGUCAUUUAGGGCAGUUCAGAUUCUUUGGGAUCAAAGUCUUUGCAUAUUGUAUCUACACCGUAUCAUUUGAAUGGUAGUCCUUCAAUUAUAAAAAAGAAAAGGCAAUAGAAAGUUAUUCUACAUUCUUAAAGAUAGCUGCUGAUCUAUGAAUUACUUUUUGGGUUUGAUAUUCGUAAGAACCUCAAUGUGUUCCGAGUGUGAUUCAAUUGGAGUUCUUCCUACAAAAUAGCUUACAACAGAGCAUCUUACUGAAGUGAACCAAGUAUAACACCAAUGCUGGUCAUUUUUUAGUUGUAUAUCUAGUGUUGUUGUAUUCCUCUUCUCAACUAUUAUGUUGAGGCCACAAUUUGAAUGGUUGGGUUGUUCUAUUGAGGAGGUUCCUGGGUCACAGUUCAUCCACGUUGGGGCCCAACAUACCAAUGGUCAGGAUUAUUGAACAAUGGAUGAGGAUCAAGUAAUUCCUAGUAAUAUAAAUAUGUUCACAUGCUGUCCCAAAAUGCAAACUGUUAUAAAAUAGUGUUUCUGUUACCAUUGUUAUGUAGUAGGGAAAAAUUGCUAAUAUUUGUUUUGUGGGUUCAGGUUGGUCUAUUGAAGAGUAAGUUUGGGUUUGAUGAUGCUUUCAACUACAAGGAAGAACAUGACUUGGCUGUAGCUUUAAAAAGACAGGAAGAAUUUCAGAAGCAAAAUCUCUCCUUGAAAGGAUCCAACCUUCAUCUUCGGACUCAGACAAGCAUGGCCCGGAUUCGUAUAUGAAAUCCUUUAAACAUGCAUGUGAAAUGCUAGCAGGUCUUAAGUGUCAAUUGAUGAAUGGAGCGAUAGGAACAAAAAUCCAGAGAUCUUCUGCUUCCUCUAUUACGGGAAUCUUGAAUUCCCCAGGUUCUGGUGAGGCAAAGAAGAACUGUGGAUUGCAAGUCCAGAAGGAGCUGACGGAAGCAGAAAUGCAUGAUAGGGCUGUGGAUAUAUGCAAAUGGGUGACGUCCAGUCAUUCAGUUGGGCCCCACAAGGGCGAAAAAUCAAUGGUAGGAUCGAGUCAUCUGAAUGCAGAGUCAAAUUUCAGUUGGGAAUGAAUGGUCUGUUUAAGCGUGUUUUUUUUUU